CACAGCUGACAGAUAUGUAUUACCCAAAACUACUGUCUGGCUUCCCGGAUGGUGAGAAGCAUUUCAUGGACAUGAGAAAAUGUCAUUCAUCUACGCAGCUUCAGCUUCACAUUGUUUGAACGUUAAGUCAUGUAGGCAAGUGUUACUAUUCUGAAUCCAGAGACAUGUUACCACAAUACAUAGCGUGCAUAGCAAGCCUGUAGAGGAACUAUCAUUUUUUAGAGGUAAAGGCAACAGGAUUCAUCUAGCUACUAAGCCAACACUAUGGUGGAACUUCUAUUUUUUGUUUCUUUGAAAACCUUUUUCAUAAAUACUGCUUUCUUAGGAACAGAAUUAUCCCUACACAUCCCUCUUUUUUAACAUUUUUGGAGGUGUUGGGAUUUUUUCAACACUGAGACCAAAAUUUCUUCUUUUUUUGGGAAUGUGUGGGAGGCUGUGGAAGGGUGUUUGGUGGUUCAAAAUUAAUCUGACAAAAUAGUAAUGGACUUCUAUCUGCCUCGACAGUUUUGCUAAGCAGCAGGACAGAAUUCCAAUAGAAUUGUCCUUGAUUCAACUGAGAACUGUUACUGGAUGAGACCAUUGCUUUCAGGAGAGGAAGGGGGAAGGGCGUCCCUCCAGCUGUUAGCAGCAAUCUUGGUGCAGGAAGAGGCUCACAUCCAACUGCUGCAGACUGGAGAAGUCGGACUGAGGGCAGUGAAGCAAUCCCACAGCAGGUCUAGCUUCCCAACUGUCCCUGAUUUUUUCAUCAACGAUUUUCAUUGUUUGUCCUCUGUCUGGGGGUUUCCCUUCAGUGAGUAUGUGGAUUUGGAAAGACUGAAAAAAUGCAAUAGCUGAAUACUUCUGCAUAUCUUACAACUCCUUCUUCCCUCAUUCUCACUCAUGGUGUAUUGCUCAUAUUUUCUCUUUAAAGUUUUUACCUAUAUUGCUGCUUUUUGCCACCACUUUAUUUUUUUCCUGUCACUUUCACAUAUUUUAAUUUCAAAUCCUAAUUUUCUGUUGUGAUAUACAUCUGUGAAGGUUUGGAGGUGAUCGAGUCUUAAGAAAAAAGAAAGGAAAAAAAAGAGCAGUAAGUGUCAGAGUGUACUGACUUCUCUAGAUUUACAUUUCCACCAGUAUUUACAGGAGUCUAACUUGUAGACCUUGUGAACUUUCUCCCACAAAAACAAAAUAAUAAUAAUAAUUGCAUAUGCAUUCCAAUUAUACCCAGGGUAGUUAAGAAUCACAAUUUGAGUUAGAAAUAAUAACAGAAUUCAAGACAGAAAACAAUCACCUUUUUUGGUCUGUUUCUUUUCUAAAAGAGGUCAGAGCCAACACUUCCACUGAGUUCAAGAGGGAAACUUCUCUGCCUUUAUUGUCAAGUAAACACAGUUAAAAUACAUAAACCAGACAUAUACAGACAAAAUACAUGGCCUAUUUCUAAGGCCAAAUUUGGUAACCAAUCACAAUGAAUUCACUGUUUCUAAAUGAGGGCAGAAGUUGUCCCUACAAGACAUUUUCCUUUAUUUAGGAUUUCAGUAAGUUCUGCUGAGUUUGUCAAGACCUGCUAUUUUGUUUUGCAUACACAGAGUACCUCAUACAGUGGAUUAUUGUUCCAUGUCUGAGAGUAUGCAACAGUUUUGCAGUGCAUAAACAAAAUAAAAAAACUAAGUUAUAAAAGCCUUACAUCUGGUGCCUUUCUCCAGAAUACUGCUACUGUUUAUGCAAAGAUUGCCAUUUUGAAACAAAAGCAAGAUCAUCUUCCUAAUAGGUGGCACUGUCCUGAAAUUUAGACUAUCUUCAUUUAAAAAAAAAAAAAGAUUUGAGUUUAUUUAGGAAAAUCUUCAGGCUUUCAAACUAUCCUCUGCAAAGAUCCAGAGAGUACCUAAAACCUGAACAUUUUUCCAAGCAAAAAGAAAGAACCCACUGUUACUAAUACACCAUUAGCUGAAGGUUGCCUAGGGAUAGGAAUGAAGUUCAGCUCCUUGGAAGAGACAGCCCGAAAGCAGCCACACCAGAGCCAACUGUACAGUCACUCUCCAGUGCAGCCAACAAACAAGCUGGGGAAAGACAGCUAAGGGAACAGACCCAGGUCUAGCUGUAGCUGUAGCCAUUGGAAACAUUAUAUUCCAAAACAAAACUGAAGUAAAUUUUCAGCUGGAGCAGGGGACUGACUACACCCAGAAUGAUUAAUAUUUUCAUGUGUAAGGAGCUGAAGGAAAGUUCCCAGACUCCACUACGACAAACAGCUUCUUAUGAUUGAUAAUAUUAGGGACAGAAAAUGCAGGAAAGUAGUCAAGAAAUUGCUCCCAAAGGGCUAAAUCUACACACCUGUGCCCUCCUCAUUUAUGUGAUACUUGCUAAGGAGAUGCUGUUGCUUUCAAGGUCAAAGAUCUCUGAAGAAGGCUCUUCCAUUUUCUUGGUGGACCCUACAUAACCACAGGCUCUUGGUUCUGCUUAAAGGAGAUUUUUUGAAGUACAUAUGGGAGUUACAUGCCCAAUUCCCAUUAUUUCCUAAAGACAAUUACAUGCUUAACUGCCCUCUGUGCCUUUUAUAACCUUCCUUUUUGGAGCCAGAUGUUCAUGAUUACAUAGAUUAUCUACAAUAGGUUUCACAACAGCAGUACUUUGAGGUACUUCUUUAAAAUUCUAUUGGAAGUUUUGACAACAUACACAAAAUGUAGAGUAAUGAUCAUGUAGUCUAUGGAUUGUUUGUUUUAAGAAACUGAGAUUUUUCAUGCUAAAAUAGGAUACAUUUUUAAGGAAACAUACCCUCAGUCUAAAAUAUAUAUAAUUAUGGUUUAUUCUGUUGCUCCAGUGGAUUAAAACAUUCAUUAUACAAGCCACAGAUAAGAUAUAAUCUCGGAGGCUGAUGACUUUUGCAACAUCAGAGAAGAUUAAAGGGGAGAUUUUGUUGUAAACUGAGUUUGCAAUAGAAAAUUAUGUCCACUGUGUGGUAAAAAGUUUGCUGUCACUUUCAGCUCUGGCUUUGCUUUAUUUUAUUUUUCCUAGUCUAGCUGGCUGUAAAUCUUCAAAAUUGCAUAAUGCCAAUUAAGAAAAAUAAAGAGAAAAUUGAGAUACCAGUACUCAUAGAGGAAUGCUGUUGGCUGAGGCCCCAGAUAUUUUUUGUGUCUCCAGUGAUUUUCCUGUAACUGUUCCAGGAAGUUUGGGAAAAGCUUUGCAUUGACAUCAUGCUGCAAAUGCUGGAAAAGCGUUACCCUGGGAAAGAUUUGAGGCCUAGUUCAAUGUCCUGCAUAACCUAUCCUAAGACUUCUAUGGACAUUCUCAAGGUUAAUGAAUUCAGCAGAAAUCUAACCCAUCUCUCCUACCAAAAGCAGCUUUACUGAAGAGAAAGUUAACAAAUUGUUUUUUUUAAUGUAGCUGUUCCUAUUAACCACUUAAUGGGAAAGUACAUUAUACUAUUAUACUUGAUUUAAAAAUAUAUAUAUAUUUUAACAGUAAUUUAUUCUCACUAGCAAAAUAAGCAGAUUAUGGAUGAUUUCCCUUUUCUUACAUCAGGAUUGUUUUCUUCUUUUUAUAAAUUAAAAACAAUAGAUAUAAAUAAAGACUAAUUCCUGGGGAAAAAAAAUCAGAGAGGACAUUUAGAUUCAGUUCUGGAAGAUGGCCACUGUAGAAGGUUAAGUCACAUAAGACUUAGCUUCUGAGAAGGAGAAAAAGCAUCCAAUGACUGUUAGGAUCAGUCCUUAAUACUUCAGUAGGUAAUUCUGUAGAAUUAUGGGUUUGAGUGGGCUUUUGUUUUCCAGGAACUAUUGCUGUUACCUAAACUACUUGUCAGUGAACGGUUGGGCUCUUCUGACUUAAACUGAGUGACUCAAAAGCUGUGUUAUCCCAUGUCUACAGAAUUAUCAGGGACCAGGAAACUGUGCUGUUCUCAAGGUACCUGUCUCCCAUACCUAUUAUGAGAAAAGCUAGCUGACUAGUUUGAACUAGAAGCCUUAUUUUUAGAUGAGAAAAAUAAGGCAAGAAAAAGGCUACCUAAAUAAAUUCCAGUGACUGUAUUGCUCUUCAUUUCCAAGUUAAUUCAUAGAAGCAGUAUAAAAGAUGUGUAAAAACUGUAAAAUAAUUUUGUGAGCGGCAGCAAUCCUUUUUUUUUUUUUUUCUGAUAAUGGUUGAGAAAAAACAGGAAAUAGAAUGACCUUAAAAGUUCAUAAGAAAUGAACUUCUACUGCAGUGGAUGCUAAAUGUGCCAGUAUUUUCUGACUUCUUAUUCCUGAAGUACAUUUUUUCAUAAAUAUGUUGUACAGGAAAAAUUUGUUUUUAUAACCUCUCACAUUUGGCAAAUUGAAACCCCAAUGUCUCAUUUCACUUUGCUGAUAUUUCACAGUCAAGGGGUAGUAACAUCUUAGAAACAAUGCUAAGACUGUGUGUACUUGUUGUUUUUAAUAAAACUGUCAAGUGUUAAAACCUUGUGAGUGUAUGGGUGUAUUUAUAGAUUAUUUCUCUCCAAAUGUAUAGAAUAAUUUUUAAAACCACAUUCCCAAACGUAAAGCUAGUGAAACAGAAAAUAAUUCACUACAAAAAGCAUAAAGAAAUGAAUACAGGUCUUGGACAAAGAUAGAAAAACAUAAACUAUUGUGUAGAAUUGAUAAAUAUUAUUCAUUCAAACUUUUAUUUACAGAAAACCUUUAAAGUGAAUUCCAAAAAUAAUCUUAUUCAAAGCCAGAAACACACAUAAAAAAAUAAAGUAUUAGAAACAAUUUUGUUUCCUUUUGUUUUUAGUGUUUUUUUUUACCUUCUUCAAGAGAGAUAACUCACUCAUAAUCUAGUACUAACAAUUCAGAGAGUAUCAUAACCAUUACUGGAUUGCAAAAAUACAAAUAAACAUUUCCUUAUGUACUAAGGAAAAUCAGAUAUAGACAGAUUAUGUCCAAUAUUUUAAGUUCAAGUACUCACAUUUAGUCACAUUACUUUGUACCUAGCACACAAGCAGGUAAAAUCACUUUCAGAGGUACAAAUGACAAAAAUUGCAGUGAAUUUAGGCAGGAGAACAGUCCAGGGAUCAGAGCUGUGGAAGUAUUUAGGCCAUUAAAUCACAACUACUAUUUCAGUUGAAGUUGGAUGCUUAAAUACAGUUAUGGAUAUGGCUAUAAAACUGUAAAAGCAUGGUAAGUGUUGCAUUUCAUAAAUGUCAAGAUAAGUUAUAAAAAGUUGGUCCUAAUUAGUUAUUCAGACUUACUCAGUAAUUCUCCAGUUAUAUCAAUACAUAUGGGCACUUUUAAACAGGUGUGCAGAAACCAUCAAGUUAAUCAAACAUUACCUGAAUUUGAAGUGUCAAAAAAAAACAGUAUCUCAGUCUCAGCCUUGAAACAUAAUUUGGCUCAUAUCCUCAGGCAUGAUUUUUAGCUUUGGGUAAUUUCUUGGAAUUCAAGUCAACCCAAACUCCCUGCCUUCACUGGUUACCUUCCACAUUUACCAAAUCUGAAAGCCACAUCUAUACCGCUGUCCUUUGUAGACAGCCAACAGACCCAUCUAUUUUAUAUGUAGGCUUCAGAACCUGGAGUCAUAUUUUCCUGCCUGAUAGCAACUCCAGAAAUGUUAGGAAUAGGGUCUAAAUGUUAUACUUCACUGUGGUUCUUCUGAAAGCAUCAACUAAUACCUCUAGACACCCUUCAUUUACACUUUGGUGGCAAUGAGAAACUGAAAUGCUUAGCUCAAGGCUGCUGAUUCUCCCAGACGUUAAGGAUGCUUUAGCCUUAAGAAUAGAAAUAACCUGGUUCAGUGUAGAUGUCAACACAAUUAAUCAUCCUAGAUUCCCUUGACAGUCAAUGAAGAUCUAUUCAGAGUAGACAAUGGAGUACAAGUUGUGAUUCAUAUCAUCCUAAAGUACACACUUAAAAUAGGUCAGAGAAACUGUACCCUAAUAAGGCCUCUUUCUAUUCAUAGACUACAGAUGGAGCCUAAGAUGAUGAACUCAACUAAAGAUAGGUAAAGUUAAAAUGAAUCCAUGCCUGUAUUAUGCAAUACAACUUCCAUAGACAUAAUCUGUUGUAUCUAGUGUCCUGUUUUCCAGAGAAGAGAAUGGAAAAAAAGGAAGUUCAAGUAUAAAGAUUUUUAAGCCUAGCCUCCUGCAGACUUACCUGUAAAAUAUAUCCCAAGAGUUUAAUAUACUUAUUUUAAGGUUACAGUAAAAGUUAGUGUAAAGAGACUCUGAAGAAUCAAGGUCUUUAAAGAAAAAAAUUAAGUAGAUAUUAGACAUGGGUUUGCAAAAUCAAAAGAUCUGAAUGUCUAAUGACAACUGAGCAAGCAUAUCCCUUGGGCUUCUUUGAAAGCCUAAAUAUUAGUAAAGGGAAAAUUAGAUCAAGAAAAUGUUGGCACUUCUUACUAUUUUGUUAUUGGAAAGGGAAUGUGGCAAAAACAGUUAGUUCUCUUAUAGCAAAUGUGUUAAUGUAAAGUCGUUCUUUCAUUCAUUUCACCAUAUUUUGCGUUUAGAGAAAGAUGAAUAUUCAGUAGUCACAUUUUGUUCACUUC